UACAGAGGGGGCAAGCGUUAUUCGGAAUUAUUGGGCGUAAAGGGCGCGUAGGCGGCUUGGCAAGUGGAUGGUGAAAUCCCUCGGCUUAACCGAGGAACUGCCGUCCAAACUGCUUCGCUUGAGACCGGGAGAGGUGAGUGGAAUUCCCAGUGUAGCGGUGAAAUGCGUAGAUAUUCGCAAGAACACCAGUGGCGAAGGCGGCUCACUGGCCCGGUACUGACGCUGAGGUGCGAAAGCGUGGGGAGCAAACAGG
rnacentral:rRNA from 1 species